rnacentral:rRNA from 1 species
GACGAACGCUGGCGGCAUGCCUAACACAUGCAAGUCGAACGGAGAUUAUUUCGGUAAUCUUAGUGGCGAACGGGUAAGUAACGCGUGGGCAACCUGCCCUCUAGAUGGGGACAACAUCCCGAAAGGGGUGCUAAUACCGAAUGUGACAGCAAUCUCGCAUGAGGAUGCUGUGAAAGAUGGCCUCUAUUUAUAAGCUAUCGCUAGAGGAUGGUCCUGCGUCUGAUUAGUUAGUUGGUGGGGUAACGGCCUACCAAGGCGAUGAUCAGUAGCCGGUCUGAGAGGAUGGACGGCCACAAUGGGACUGGGAACACGCCCAGACUCCUACGGGAAGCCACAGUGGGGAAUCAUCCGCAAUGGGCGAAAGCCUGACGGAGCAAUGCCGCGGGAGUGAUGAAGGAAUUCGUUCCGUAAAGCUCUUUUGUUUAUGACGAAUGUGCAGAUUGUGAACAAUGAUCUGUAAUGACGGUAGUAAACGAAUAAGCCACGGCUAACUACGUG